rnacentral:lncRNA from 1 species
AGUUAAACCUUUUCUGAGAGAUCAGCUGAGAAGAAUUGGAGGCAACAGUGAGAGGCUGGGCCCCUAUAAAUUAGUUGGACUUGAGGUGAAAACACUUUGGGAACCAAAAUAUAGCCCUAAAUGUCCUCUAAGGGCUUUCUGUGCACCCACAGCAUUUCCUGCAUAGAAAGGGAACCCUUAUCUCAUCUGCAUAUGGUGUUCACAAAGGGCCUGCUGGAAGAUCCAAGUCCAGUCUGCACUCAUGAAGCACCUGCUCUGCAGGUUCUCAUUUUCUCACCUUCGCUCUGGGGACUUCUACUAAGGAGAGGACAAACUGGGGAAUUUCUUCUGGAAUAUGUUGAUGCUUGCAUUUUCCAGUGAAGUUAUGCUUACAGUGUUCAACUGCUUGGAUUCACCUCUGUAUGUUCUCAUAAAGCUUCCAACUGUCAAAGCAUUCUGGAGAAAGGUUACAAAUAGAGCUUUGGUUUCUGUACAGCUGGAACCAAACAAUGGAGAUGUGAUGGAACUUUGGGUUCUGUGGGUAUCUCCUGACAAGGGAUGGCUGAUUUGAUGUAAGGAGCUGAUCAGAUGGAAAUAAUCAGCGAACCAAAUAUUAUACUUUGCAGUGUGUGUACAGUUGCCUUGGUAGCUUUCAAAAGAGCAUAUUUAUCCUUGUAGUUAGGGAUUUUAAGAAGUUCGCCUUGUUCUUGUGCCUCAAAAACUAUCUUCAUUCUUUAAGCCCAAGACAUGUUCAUACUUUUUAGAUAUAGUAAAAUAAAAAAGGGUUUGAUUUUCUUUUUUUGUUGUUG